GCGUCAUUGGCCCAGUGGUUAGGGUACCGCCUUCCCAUCCCUUUGGAAGUAGGCGGGGAUCGGGAGUUCGAACCUCUCAUGGCGCA